AGUGAGGUCAGCCUGUGGCGGUUGGAGGGAUGUGCCAUCAGCUUGUGGCAGUUGGUGGCCUUGUUCCAUAAAGGCAGAGCUGCUUGGGUGAGGAUGACAUCAGUAAGCAGAGCUGAGAGGUGGGGAAAGACAAUUCCUACUGACGUCCCUGAGAUCCAGCCUCCCAUGGUGCCACAGGAGGAACCCAGUGGACAAUGAAUUGACAGCUCAGCACAGGAAGGCAGGCUGUGUGCUGCUGAGAAUAGAGACUCGCUGCUUCACUCCGUCUGCGCGCUGGGUCUGGAGUCCACCCAGUAUACAGCAGGGCCCCAGAACCUGCACUGCAGGUGCGGACGUCGAGGCCAUGGACAAGAACGUUCUAGGCGGUGAUGCGACGCGAUGAAGGCUCCCUCCGUCCACAGCUCCAGCUCCUCUGCCUCCUGCUCUCCCCACGCUCCCUGCGUGGGGAAGCCCCUCUUCCAGGACUGUGAGGAGAAACUUUGAUUUCAGUGGUGGUUGUUUCCUGAUCAGUUAGCCUUACUGACCCUCAAAGUUUCUACUAAAUAUUCUAUUUUACACCAGCCUAUGAGACACUUUGCAGACAUAGUAAACAAAUGAAGAAGAAAUGAACUAUACACCUUUUUUACAAAAUCAAGUAC
ensembl:lncRNA